rnacentral:tRNA from 1 species
GCCUCGGUAGUUCAAUGGACAGAAUAGGGGUCUUCUAAGCCCUAGAUGGGGGUUCGAUUCCCUCCCGAGGCA